rnacentral:rRNA from 1 species
AUAACGUAGCGAAAGUUGCGCUAAUACCGCAUAUUCUGUGAGCAGGAAAGCAGGGGACCGCAAGGCCUUGCGCUCUUUGAGCGGCCGAUGUCAGAUUAGCUAGUUGGUGAGGUAAAGGCUUACCAAGGCGACGAUCUGUAGCGGGUCUGAGAGGAUGAUCCGCCACACUGGAACUGAGACACGGUCCAGACUCCUACGGGAGGCAGCAGUGGGGAAUUUUGGACAAUGGGGGCAACCCUGAUCCAGCCAUGCCGCGUGAGUGAAGAAGGCCUUCGGGUUGUAAAGCUCUUUCGGCCGGGAAGAAAUCGCAUGGGUGAAUACCCUGUGUGGAUGACGGUACCGGAACAAGAAGCACCGGCUAACUACGUGCCAGCAGCCGCGGUAAUACGUAGGGUGCGAGCGUUAAUCGGAAUUACUGGGCG